UGGGAGUGUAGCUCAGACUGGUAGAGCAACGGCCUUUUAAGCCGUAGGUCCUGGGUUCGAGUCCCAGCACUCUCAU
rnacentral:tRNA from 1 species